CCCUUUGAUACUCUGGGCGGUACGCGCGCUACAAUGGAUAACUUAACGUGUUACAUCCGAAAGGAUGUAUGCAAAUCACAAAUGUUAUGUCUCGAGUGGGAUAGUUUACUGCAAUUAUAGACUUGAACUAGGAAUCCCUUGUAGGUACACUGAAGCAUAGUGUACCGAAUACGUCCCUGCCGUUUGUACACACCGCCCGUCGUUUCUUCCGACUGAUACUCAUUGUGAAUUGCGGGGAUAACGUUGUUUAAAACCGUUGUAAAUGCUGGGUAUUGGAGGAAGAAAAAGUCGUAACA
rnacentral:rRNA from 1 species